rnacentral:rRNA from 1 species
CAGUCGCCGCGGUAAAACGUAGGUGGCAAGCGUUGUCCGGAUUUAUUGGGCGUAAAGCGAGCGCAGGCGGUUUCUUAAGUCUGAUGUGAAAGCCCCCGGCUCAACCGGGGAGGGUCAUUGGAAACUGGGAAACUUGAGUGCAGAAGAGGAGAGUGGAAUUCCAUGUGUAGCGGUGAAAUGCGUAGAUAUAUGGAGGAACACCAGUGGCGAAGGCGGCUCUCUGGUCUGUAACUGACGCUGAGGCUCGAAAGCGUGGGGAGCAAACAGGAUUAGAUACCCCCGUAGUCCCUGUCUCUUAUAU